UCUCUUGCUUCUUUGAUCUUUUUUUGUAUUGUUUUUAAGGCUGUUAAUUUCCUUUUUAUGUCAUAUAGUUAUGAUUGGAAUUUAUUUUCCUUCAUAUUUAAUUUUUGCAGUCUUUUAUGUUUGUGACUACUUUUAAUGGCCAGAUUAAUUGGCACUACCCAAAAUUUUGUCCCGAGUGCUCUGUAAAGAAUAUUCAGAUCGGAAUCGAGCUUUGAUCUAAUUUACAGGAGAUUUCCAAAUUUAUGAACUUUGAAAUACCAAUUAGAUACUAGUAACUAGAAGUGCGUCCAAUAAUUUUCUAGUGGGAUUUGUCAUAAAGCAUGUGAAAGACUCGCAUUCUAUUCAUAAAAAAAUUAUUCACCACUAUGUUACACAAGAAAAAAGGAUAGAAUUUGUUUUUUAAAUACUAGAGCAGCGUCUUCUCUCCUGAUAAUAAUUAUAGUGGUUCAUCAUUAUUAUAAUAUGAGAACAUUGUCAAAUUUGGUAUUGCAAGGUGAGCAUCAUGGUUACUAGCCCAACACAUGGAAGGGGAGCACCCUCAUGCAUGAUCGUUAAUAAGGAAAGCCAAAUAUUAGCCCUUGACAUCAUUUGAUUGGGUGGACAGGGAAGGGGACAUGCUUUUGGGACAGCAGAUCUGGGCUCAGUUCAUACACUGCCAGUUUUUGCCCUAACACAGUAGUGGGCCCCACUUUUACAUUGAGGCAGUUAUUAAAGGCAGUCUCACCUACCUCCAGAUAACCACCAAAAUAUGUCGAGAUGAUGAUAAAGCAACUAUGGUCUCACCCCAAGCAAAGUAGUGAAGGACAAUGCCUAUCUAUCUACCAAUGACUCCUUGCCAUACAGACUUAUAAUAUGACCACAUCACCUUAGGUAUAAAAAUAAAAGUACCCAAGGUAUAAGGCAUUACCUCUUUUGCACCUUUAUUUGCGCUUUUGUUUUAUUGCUAUCUUGUGUUCUCAUGUUCAUAUUCCCUUCUCAUUGUACUGUUCAUGCUCUCAUAUAUUAUGUGCUUAUAUUUUCCCUAUGGCACACCUCUAGGUAGUUGUCUGUAGUUGCAGGUCUUCCCAUUUUAACAUGUUUGAUUGUUCACGAGCCAUUGACUUUUUUCCUAUGUUGAGCCAAGUCAGGCUAUCAUUUAUUAUUCGUGAUUCUUUGCAUCAUGAGUUGAUAUCAUCUGUGAAAAUGAAAGAAAUUAGUUUCAAUGGUGAAAGCAGGGAGCCUUGUGCAAAUUCAAGAGAUAGUACCUUGUCAUGACCCAAGGAAUAAUUAGAAGGGCAAUAAGGUAAUUAGUUACCUUAGUUGGUUAGGAGCUAUUUCUGUUACAGCACAUGGGUGUUGUUAUUUUGUUAUUUUCCCUUUUUGUCUUGUAGUUUAGUUGGUUAGAGAGCUUUGUCUGAUAGCUAAAUGAGGCUAUUUAUAUAUAUAUUGCCUUAGCUGUAGGAAGGGGGUAUCCAAGAAGUUAAUGAAUUGAAAUAUGUUUUUCUCCUCUUCCAAAUUCUCUCCCAUUUAUUGAUCUUCAUCUCCCUCUUUUCUGUUCUUCUAAUCCCCCUAACACUUCUUCUAAUCUCUCCCUCAUUCUUCCAAUUUCCUCCUUAAUUUCCUUCUGUUCUUGGCUUUAGCUGAAUCGGAUUCUUCUGAUUUCCAAACUGAUCCUAGGUUAAGCCCUAGGAUCAUGACAUACCUCUAUUAAGGAAUUCCCACAACUAGGCAACCCUGAUGAUGUCAUACCCAAGCGGGAUAUGACUAGUUGGUUGGGGACAUUCGGUCAAGUCCCUAGAGAAGGAAACUCUUAAGAAAACUUGAGGAGAUGCUAUGUAUGAAGCAAACUAUUAUGGAGCAAAAAAUAACCAAGGUGGGCCAAAUUUACCAGAAUGGUGGAGGUGACUCAUCCUGUUAGGAGGUCCACGAGGAGCGCUCCCCUAGAGGAGGUUGCAGAGCUUGCUCCCAUGAAGCCAUGAGGAGCAGUCUCCUAGAGAAGGUUAUGAAGGCUGCUCCCCACGAAGUCGCAGUCCUCAUGGCUUCAUGGGAACUGGACUUUGCACCCUCCUCUUGGGAAGUGUUUUUUAUGUCCUUGUUAAUUGGUCUCUUAUGACCUCCUCUGGGAGAGCCCUCCCCACAGCCUUGUGGGGCUGGACUCUGCAACCUCCUAUGGAGACACUCCACAUAACUUCGUGAGGGAGGUGAUGUUGCUACCUCUUCUAGGAGCACUCCUUGUGGCCCUCUUAGAAAGAUGGAUUGCCUAUAUAGCUCUGGUAGUUUCUACUUGCCUUUGUUUUCUUGGUCCAUAAUAGUUUGCCUUGUACAAUGCAUCUCCUCAAGUUGUCUUAAGAGCCUCCAUCUCUAGGGACUUUUGCUAGAUGUCCCUAAUCAACUUCUUGUAUUCUGCUUAAGGUGUGACAUCAUUGUUGUUGUCUAUCUAGUCCAGCAGUGGGGGGUUCCUCAUAGAGGUAUUUUCCCUUGAUUUUUCACAGCUGCUUGUUUUCACUGUUGGACCUAAUUUUCUUUGUUCUCACAUACUCCCUCAAUUGAUGAUGCAGAGAAUCAGCAAUAAGAAAUGAUAGAUAACCUGGUUCAAGGGUAAAAAGAGUCAUUGCCUUGUGAAACAUGCUAUAGCUGUAAGGCCAACAAUCACAAUAGAAAGUUACCAUGGGGUGUGUUCGCAGAGACUUCCCAAUGCUCAAGUCAAAGUUGGUUGUAGGGAAAAUAGAAGUAGGUAGUAUACAGGGAAUAUGAACAGUAGACUGUGCAGAAAAUAUGAAUGUGAGAACAUAGAAUAACAAUAAAUGGUGAGAGCCCAAAUAAAGAAGCGAAAGAGAUAUUGCCUUGUAGGUGGGGUACUUGUCUUUCUAUACCUAAGGUGGUAUAGUCUGUCACUGCUAGGCGGUGACAAUAAUUGCUUUUCUGAUUCAGUAAGAAUCAGAUAAUAGCAACAGAGAAAUAACAAGAGAAAUUUAGAGAAGAAUAGGAAAAGAGAGAACAGAGGAGAGAAGAGAACUGAGAGAAAUUGAGAGAGAAUUCAGAUUGUUCUUCCAAAAAUUCGAUAAUUCCCCUCCAAGAGUGCCUUGGAGAGUAUAUACACUCUUAGCAAGGGGGCUGCUGCAGCAGAUCCACACCAUUCAGGCAGUUGUAACAACUGCUUUUGUCCUAUUCUGGCCCUUACCUGUGGGCCCUCCCUGGGCUAACUAUCUGAUCACAGAAUUACAGCUAGGAAAUGAAAUAACAAAAAUUACAGUAGCAAGAAAUAUCAGCAGUAAAAUGAAAUAAAAAAUAACAGCAAGAUGAAAAGAAGAAUUCAAAUUGGGUAUCUCAGUCACAGCUUGUGACAUAGUCGUAGUAGAAGCUUGUACUAUUGGGAGUCUUCAACAUAGAUGCCUCUAUCCUGGACGCAAUAGGCAUCAUCCUUCAUUACUAUGCUUGGGAUGAGACCUUAGUUACUUUAUUAUCAUCUCAAUAUAUUUUGGUGGUUAUCCAAGGGUAAAUGAUCACCUUAAUAGUUGCCUCAACAUAAAAGUGGGCUCACGUGUUGUUGUGUGAAACAAAAAUGUUGCUGACCUAUGUGUGCUUGUUGACUUUCCUAUAAGCAUGCAUGGAGUGUACUCCCCUUCCUCAUGUUGGGCUAUUGGUGACAUACAAUUUCUGGCCACAUUAGAUGCCCCCCUAAUUCCCUUGUCAAGCUUUUGGAUGUUGGAAGCACAAUUAACUUGCUUGCUCCAUGAAUGGUGGUACUCAUUUGAAUGUGGAAUGUCGUGGGAAUAUGCUGAAAUGUUCACAACAACCCAGAAAUAUCUCCCGUUCAUCUUUUUGAUUCUCAAAAAGGGCAUAUUGAUGCUUGUGGCACGCGCUAGCAACAUCUAGGGAGCUUCCUCACCAAAAAAGCUCAAAUGAAUAAUUUAUUGCGUGUGUUUUUAGAGAGAGAGAGAGAGAAGGAAGAAGUUUCCCUCCUCAGUUCCAAGUCAUGAUGUCUUCCUCUGGGAAGUUCUUUCUUCUUUUUAUGAUUUGCAUUAGCUUUUUUGUAUAUAGUUAUUGCCAUAGUGUUACUAUUUUUCCAUUUCUGUACAGUAUCUUCAGUUACUUUUGGUUUUUUGGUGUGUCUCUGUGAUUGGUGAUGGAGUUGUAUGCAGUGAUCAGUAAGGGUGCCAUGGUGUUUUCAGUUUUAUGACCAUCAGCGUCACUCUUCUUUUCAAUUCGUUAUUUUAAAUUGUGGAGCAGUGGUACCCUGGUACCACUUCCACAGCCUUGGUCCACGUCCAAGUAUCUCUAUUAAGUUUGUUCUUUUUGCAAAUUUUUGGACUGUUUGGCUUAAGCACAGAACUUUUGGGAAAUGAUUCCAGUGUGGCACUCACUUGGAACAGUUUUUUUCUUGACCAAUCCAAAGUGGUAAAAAAUCUAGCUGACAGACUAGUUCAGCUAGUUCAACUGAAUUUAUAAAAAUAGAUGUGUUGUAUUUUCUCUACAUAUAUAUUUAAAUGGUAUGUAAAAACACAAGCAAAGUUGUGGUGUAGUGGUACUGCUAGCCUUGGACCACUUCCACAGCCUUGGUCCAAGUCUCUCUAGCAUACUUUUGUUUCCAACUUUUGGAAAAUGUUUCGGUGAAUAUGGCACUCACUUGGCUUCAAUGAUCCAAAGUUGUCAACCUAACUAGCCGAAGGGCCAAUCCCCAAUUAAACUGGUUUAACUAGAGUCCAAUCCAGUUCUGAUUACUAUCUUAGCGACUUAUGAACUUCCCUUGUUCUUUAUAUUGGCCCUGUUUAUUGCUUUUACUUGAUGAACUAUUCAAUACUGCUUCUAUCAAAUAUAAGGUGUUAGCUUCAAUUCGUUAGCUUAAUCUUGCAAGAAUGCAAGUUGUUUUAGCUUGUGAAUUUUUGGAUGAUAUCUUGGAAAAUGUUUUGGACUUGGAAAUAACAUGGUUAAAUCUUUGUCAAGAAUUUGGAUGCUGAUGCUUAAAACUGUAGAUUAAAAAACCGUGUUCUCUGCCAACACACAAGGGUGGAACAGUCCAGUUUGUGACUGAAUCUGUUCUUUGGCCUUAAUAAGUUGAUAAUUGAUGUCCACCUUCUGAGUAAUUUGAUAAUUGAAAACGUCAGAUCUUUCAACGUGCGUUGUAGAUACAGGUCACACAAGCAAUAUAUCCACUUCGUGGGAUUAAGGCUUGGUGGUGUUAUUGUUGUCGUCCAUCUUCCGAGUACAUGACUGAUAUUGUU